GCUCCUGUAGCUCAAUUGGGCAGAGCAUCUUCCUUACACGAAGGGGGUUGGCAGUUCGAGUCUGUCCGGGAGCA
rnacentral:tRNA from 1 species